rnacentral:lncRNA from 1 species
CUUCCUCCACAGUCCACACCCCAGGCCCAACCCCAUACGCUGUCCCAACCUCUUCCUCCACAGUCCACACCCCAGGCCCAACCCCAUACGCUGUCCCAACCUCUUCCUCCACAGUCCACACCCCAGGCCCAACCCCAUACGCUGUCCCAACCUCUUCCUCCACAGUCCACACCCCAGGCCCAACCCCAUACGCUGUCCCAACCUCUUCCUCCACAGUCCACACCCCAGGCCCAACCACAGGUACAACCCCAGGCCCAACCCCAGUCCACACCCCAGGCCCAACCCCAGUCCACACCCCAGGCCCAACCACAGGCCCAACCCCAAUCCACACCCCAGGCCCAACCCCAGGCCUAACCCCAGUCCACACCCCAGGCCCAACCCCAGUCCACACCCCUGGCCCAACCACAGACCCAACCCCAAUCCACACCCCAGGCCCAACCCCAGUCCACACCCCAGGCCCAACCACAGGCUCAACCCCAGUCCACACCCCAGGCCCAACCCCAGGCCCAACCCCAGUCUACACCCCAGGCCCAACCCCAGUCCACACCCCAGGCCCAACCCCAGGUACAACCAUUUUAAAACAUACAUUUCCAUACUUUUUUGCACAUACUGAUUGAAUUGUUAACUAUGUAUGCUGUUAGUAGAAUUGUACCUAAAAUGUCUGACAAUUUUUUGCCCUUGGAAGCCCGAAUGAAUAGACACCAUUAUCAUCGAGGACCACUUUGGAAACAAGUGUUUUAAUGUUUCAGUGUUAUCCUCUGCAAAUACACUGCACACCUUGCUGUAUGAUUUUAAACGAAAUAAAUUCACUUUAAAUUGGUGAAGGGUUACACAUCAAGUAAUAAAAUGUAAACUAGAGGACUCUUAUUGGCCAUUGACUAGAGUGUUCUUGUUAGGUUCAAACCUUCCAACUACCUUCCAAAGACGUCGAUCACCUGGGGGGAAAAACUAUGAGAAAAAAUCCACAGCUUGUGGAUACAUCUGUGGCGUUUCAGAGUUGAAGACGAGGGAUCAGGGGAAAUACUUUCAAGCAGUUCUACAGCAAGCGGAUAGGCCGAUGGACAUUCUCAUUUUGGAACCAGAGCAACGAAAAAGUUUUUCAGGAGCCGAGAAGAAGGUCUUCAGUUAAGCUGAAGAGAACCUCAUUUGAGAAACUUGGCAUAAACAAGUACAAAGAUGGAAUAAAGUUGAAACAAAUCCAAAUUGACUAUCGUGAAAGGCAAAAAGACUACAGAAGGAAGCCACUGCUGAGCAAAUAUAAGAAACAGUUUUAAUUAAAGAUGUUAGAACAUACUCUUUCACUGACAGUGUGUGGAGUUCAAUGUCCAGACCAAAGGGAAUUAAUGAAUUACCUAGCCUACAUUAUGUAAGUAGUUUUUUUUUAUUAGAAGUAGCCAUUAAAGCUGCACCGUAACAGCA